rnacentral:rRNA from 1 species
GUGUCUUCGGUGACCGGUCUACCACCGGGAUGUUCAUAACCCUUUGUUGUCCGACUCUGUUGCCUCCGGGGCGACCCUGCCUUCGGGCGGGGGCUCCGGGUGGACACUUCAAACUCUUGCGUAACUUUGCAGUCUGAGUAAACUUAAUUAAUAAAUUAAAACUUUUAACAACGGAUCUCUUGGUUCUGGCAUCGAUGAAGAACGCAGCGAAAUGCGAUAAGUAAUGUGAAUUGCAGAAUUCAGUGAAUCAUCGAAUCUUUGAACGCACAUUGCGCCCCCUGGUAUUCCGGGGGGCAUGCCUGUUCGAGCGUCAUUUCACCACUCAAGCCUCGCUUGGUAUUGGGCAUCGCGGUCCGCCGCGUGCCUCAAAUCGACCGGCUGGGUCUUCUGUCCCCUAAGCGUUGUGGAAACUAUUCGCUAAAGGGUGUUCGGGAGGCUACGCCGUAAAACAACCCCAUUUCUAAGGUUGACCUCGGAUCAGGUAGGGAUACCCGCUGAACUUAAGCAUAUCUAAGCGGGGAGAGAGAA